rnacentral:misc_RNA from 1 species
CGCUGUCGGUGUCUUUUAAUAUUGGAAUUCUGAUCAGAUUAAAAUUUAAUUUUUAGAUACUCUUUUUGAGUCGGAUUUUUAGGGAAUCCGUUGCAAGCGCUAAAUUAUUUUCUGACAUUAAAGGGAAAUGGAUUAAAUACCUAAAUAGAAGUCAAAUGGUGACAUGGAUUAGUGUUUCCAAUGUCGUCGUCCAACUCUGCUAUGGAUGUUGAUGGGGCCCCUGGGAAUGCCCCUGGCCCUUUAAAGAGAAGUUCUAGUGCUCCAAUGAUUAAUGAAGCAUCUAGUUCAGCUAUGACAUCUGCUAGUUCUAGUAAUUCAACAGCCAGUAAUCAACCAUCUUUCAACAAUUUAUUUGGCACAGUAAAUGCAACAAGAACUAGACGCUUCAGUGCAAGCUUUAGUCCAGUACCAGGCUCUCCAGUAUCGGGACCAAGAACACCAAGAAUAAAUCAGUUGAGACAAGAAGAGCAUGAAGUCGUAUCUAAUUCUCGUGAAUUGGCUCACGAAAAAGAAAUCCACAGUGCAAUGCAAAUUUCACAAUCAUGGGAGGAUCUUAGCUUGAUAGAAAAUUCAAAUGAAACCAAGAGCAAUCGAAUGGGGCCCAUUCAUGUAUCCUUACCAUCUAAUAGUUUUAUGUCUAAUUCUCCAUCGCCUACAAGGGGUUAUGGAUUUCAAAGUCCAACAAGAUCGAAACAAAUAUUUAUUAGACGUAGUGAAAGUCCUGUGCUUCGUCCAAGCCCACUAGGUGUAAAGCGAAAAAUUGAUGAUAAGGAUGUUGAUUUUCACACUAGUCCAAGAGCAAAAAGGGUAUAUAGUUAUUCAGCUAGUGAUAGCAGAGGUCUCCUUACAACCACAUCAAAUUCACUGCCAGGGUCUUUAAGUUCAGUUGGAACCCCAGAAAGCCUUUCCAGUGCAGACUCUCCCGGUUCUGGUUUUGCUUUCAGAAACGUCGAUAGUCCGUCUCCAACCCUCCAAGGUGGCCAAGGAGAACCUAUGAUUGUGGGCAAGAAUGACCAUGAUAUGACUGAGAGUCCUAGUUAAUAUGGUGCAAUACCGAGUUUAGAUUUUUAAUUAAAGGUGGCAUAAGAGCAAAGAAAAAUAAGUGGAAAAAUUUAAAAUAUAUUGUGGUAGGAAACUAGACCAUUCUUGAUAUAGAUACAAUAUUUAGGGAUACUUUAUUUUGAUGAAGUUCAAAACUUACCAUAGGAUGAUUUUGAGCCG